rnacentral:rRNA from 1 species
AUUGAACGCUGGCGGCAGGCCUAACACAUGCAAGUCGAACGCGUGGCGGACGGGUGUGUAAUGUCUGGGAAACUGCCUGAUGGAGGGGGAUAACUACUGGACACGGUAUCUAAUACCGUAUACUCUCAGAUGUGCCCAGAUGGGAUUAGCUAGGUGGUGGGGUAAAGUCUCACCAAGGCGACGAUCCCUAGCUGGUCUGAGAGGAUGACCAGCCACACUGGAACUGAGACACGGUCCAGACUCCUACGGGAGGCAGCAGUGGGGAAUAUUGCACAAUGGGCGCAAGCCUGAUGCAGCCAUGCCGCGUGUAUGAAGAAGGCCUUCGGGUUGUAAAGUACUUUCAGCGGGGAGGCGUUACCCGCAGAAGAAGCACCGGCUAACUCCGUGCCAGCAGCCGCGGUAAUUC